rnacentral:rRNA from 1 species
GAUGAACGCUGGCGGCGUGCCUAAUACAUGCAAGUCGAGCGAACGGACGAGAAGCUUGCUUCUCUGAUGUUAGCGGCGGACGGGUGAGUAACACGUGGAUAACCUACCUAUAAGACUGGGAUAACUUCGGGAAACCGGAGCUAAUACCGGAUAAUAUUUUGAACCGCAUGGUUCAAAAGUGAAAGACGGUCUUGCUGUCACUUAUAGAUGGAUCCGCGCUGCAUUAGCUAGUUGGUAUGGUAACGGCUUACCAAGGCAACGAUACAUAGCCGACCUGAGAGGGUGAUCGGCCACACUGGAACUGAGACACGGUCCAGACUCCUACGGGAGGCAGCAGUAGGGAAUCUUCCGCAAUGGGCGAAAGCCUGACGGAGCAACGCCGCGUGAGUGAUGAAGGUCUUCGGAUCGUAAAACUCUGUUAUUAGGGAAGAACAUAUGUGUAAGUAACUGUGCACAUCUUGACGGUACCUAAUCAGAAAGCCACGGCUAACUACGUG